AACACAAGAAAAAAUUAAAAAUUAAACAUUUCCGCUUAUAUAUUUUAAACGUAUAUAAAAAAAAAAACUCUAGUCCAUUUUUGCGUUUAGUGCUUAAGAAUUUUAGAAGCAAUCAAUUAAGAAAAAAAAAAAAAAUUAUUAAAUAAAUAAAUAAAGUAAAAAAAAAAAAACAAUUAUUCGAAAUUAUUUGGCCAAAGGAGAAACGUAUGCAUUGAUUGAACUCUGAAAAAGGAAACAAAGGCUUUUUCUUGUCCAUCCAUUAUUAUAAAUAAAUAUAUGUAUACAUAUAUAUAUAUAUACAUACAUACAUAUAUACAGAAAUUCUAGCAAAUUAUAUGUUUUAAGGAUCCACUUAAAAAAUCGAAGAUAUAACAACAAAAAAAAAUAAAUAAAUAAAUAAAUAACCAAGAAAAAAACCGCAUCCAAGAAUACAUAGCAAGCAGUCAAAAAAUUCCAAUAAAACUAAUUAUUAUAUCGGCUGAGUGAAUAAACUUUUCAAGUUAAAAUUUGAAAACAAACACUUUAGUCUACCACGUAAUUUGCCGAAGAUCGUAUCGUAACGUUGAGAUCCAUAUAAAAUAAAUAAAUAUUCCAAAUUAUAUUCUGGUCGGCUUUCCUUACAAGAGAGACUAAAAAUACAAAGAAAAAAAGAGGGAGAAAAAACCGUUUUUCGUUUAGUACAUGUACAAAUUUUAAAGUAUUCGUAACAAAGACUGAUUUGGUUUGAAUUAUAUCUCGAAUGUAAUUGAAAGCGCAAAUCUUCUACGAUUAAAUAAGAAUUUUCCAAAAAAAAAGAAAAAA